rnacentral:rRNA from 1 species
GACGAACGCUGGCGGCGUGCUUAACGCAUGCAAGUCGAACGGAAAGGCCCUGCUUUUGUGGGGUGCUCGAGUGGCGAACGGGUGAGUAACACGUGAGUAACCUGCCCUUGACUUUGGGAUAACUUCAGGAAACUGGGGCUAAUACCGGAUAGGAGCUCCUGCUGCAUGGUGGGGGUUGGAAAGUUUCGGCGGUUGGGGAUGGACUCGCGGCUUACCAGCUUGUUGGUGGGGUAGUGGCUUACCAAGGCUUUGACGGGUAGCCGGCCUGAGAGGGUGACCGGCCACAUUGGGACUGAGAUACGGCCCAGACUCCUACGGGAGGCAGCAGUGGGGAAUAUUGCACAAUGGGCGGAAGCCUGAUGCAGCAACGCCGCGUGCGGGAUGACGGCCUUCGGGUUGUAAACCGCUUUCGCCUGUGACGAAGCGUGAGUGACGGUAAUGGGUAAAGAAGCACCGGCUAACUACGUG